rnacentral:rRNA from 1 species
AACGUAGGAGACAAACGUUAUCCGGAGUUACUGGGCGUAAAGGGCGUGUAGGCGGUCUGUUAAGUCUGGCGUGAAAGCUCUCGGCUAAACCGGGAGAGGUCGUUGGAUACUGGCAGACUAGAGGACGGUAGAGGCGUGUGGAAUUCCGGGUGUAGUGGUGAAAUGCGUAGAGAUCCCGAGGAACACCAGUGGCGAAGGCGACACGCUGGGCCGUACCUGACGCUAAAGCGCGACAGCAUGGGGAGCAAACGGG